rnacentral:lncRNA from 1 species
UAGCGAGGAAGUUUUCGCAUGAACGGAGAUAGGUAAAUUAAGUUAGAGACAGAGGCAAGGUAAACUCUCGCGCACCAAGUCAAGGUCCCUACUGUGGGAAGCUCCAUCGCCUAGGGUCUUGAAAUGCAAUGUGGAUGGUAAACUUUUUGACGCAGGUUAUGAGGCAGGAUAGGGAGCAGUCAUCUGAGACUCGGCAGAAAGAGUAUUGACGGUUUUCUCUGACAGGUUAUGAGGGUGCUGAUCUCCCUAUCUAACUGAACUACUUGGCUAUCGUAAUU